rnacentral:snRNA from 1 species
AAACCUAGGGCGCGAGCCCGGG